AUCCUGGUCCAGGAUGAACGCUGGCGGUGUGGAUAGGGCAUGCAAGUCGAACGAUCCGUCACCUUUUAGCAAUAAAAGGUGACGGAUAGUGGCGAACGAGUUCAGUACUACCUUGGAAUCUACCUCGAAGACGGGGAUAACUCGCCGAAAGGCGGGCUAAUACCCGAUAGUCCCGUCACCUUUUUAAGAAUUGAAGUAAGCGCAGUUAAGUUGUCAGUGAUAGAGCCUGGCAAUUUCUUCGAACUUCAAGAUUUAAAAAGGUGACGGGUAAAGGCGCAAGCCACUUUGAGAGGAGCCUAGGUCCUAUCAGCUAGUUGGUGAGGUAACGGCCCACCAAGGCUAUGACGGGUAGGGGGUGUGAGAGCACGACCCCCAACGACGAGACUGAGACACGGCUCGUACACCUACGGGUGGCAGCAGUCAAGAACAUUCGACAAUGGGCGAAAGCCUGAUCGAGCGACACCGCGUGCAGGAAGAAGGCCUUCGGGUUGUAAACUGCUUUUACGGGGGAGGAACGCAAGUGACUGUACCCCGAGAAUAAGACGCUGCAAACUUCGUGCCAGCAGCCGCGGUAAUACGAAGGCGUCAAGCGUUAUCCGGAUUUAUUGGGCGUAAAGGGUCUCCAGGUGGUCGUGUUAGUCGGACGUUAAAUCCCACUGCCUAACGGUGGAAUCGCGUUCGAAACGGCACGACUGGAGGUACGAAGAGGCAUACGGAACGGUAGGUGUAGGGGUGAAAUCCGUUGAUAUCUACCGGAACACCAGAGGCGAAGGCGGUAUGCUGGUCGUAUCCUGACACUCAUGAGACGAAAGCGUGGGGAGUGAAUGGGAUUAGAUACCCCAGUAAUCCACGCCGUAAACGAUGCAGAUUCGCUGUGGGGAGUAUCGACCCUCUCCGUGGCUUAGCUUACGCGUUAAAUCUGCCGCCUGGGAAGUACGAGCGCAAGCUUAAAACUCAAAGGAAUAGACGGGAGUUCGCACAAGCGGUGGUCCAUGUGGUUCAAUUCGAUGACAACCGAGGAACCUCACCCGGGCUUGAUAUGGCAGUGAAAUCCGGCAGAAACGUUGGAUGUCUUACAAGGACACUGUCACAGGUGUUGCACGGUCCUCGUCAGUUCGUGAUGUGAAUUGUUUCCUUCAGUGGAGUAACGAACGCAACCCCUAUCGUGUGUUACAAGUGUCACACGAGACUGCCCCCGUAUAGGGGGAGGAAGGCGGGGAUGACGCGAGAUCAGCGUGGCCCUCUGAUGCCCGGGGCUACACACGUGGAACAAUGCCGUUGACAAUGCGUCGCCAAGCCGCAAGGCGGAGCCAAUCGCAUCAAACAACGGCCCAGUUCAGAUUGAGGUCUGCAACUCGACCUCAUGAAGAAGGAAUCGCUAGUAAUCGCGGAUCAGCUAUGCCGCGGUGAAUACGUUCUCGAACUUUGUACUCACAUCAAAUGCGCUCGGCAGUUUGCAGAGCAAGAUGGUGAAAUUCCAUCCCUUCCGCGUUCGAGCGGGAGCGAAGUCAAUGGAUAAUCGAGAGUUCG
rnacentral:rRNA from 1 species